GAUCUCGUCCCUGCAGAUUGGUAGGUAUGUCAAGAUCAUUCAUAUGCUUCAUAGAAACAUACAAAUUCCUCACCGUAGUUAAAUUAAUUAACAUAAGAAAAGCCAAAAAUAAAAAAGAAAUGAAACAUAUAUAAAUUUUAUGCAGUAAUUAUUAAUUCAAGCUUUAAUUUUCAAAUCUUUUGUGUAUAUCACAAUAAAUAAAACAAAUAGUGUUUAAUUAAUUAAGUUAAAGAUUGCUUACUUGAUAAAGCGGUUGU
rnacentral:misc_RNA from 1 species